rnacentral:misc_RNA from 1 species
GUCGAGAUAAGAAGUGUGUCUGGCAAGCGAUAGUGGCCGUGUUGCGGGAGCUCGCGUGUGUAUAUUACCAAAUUCCAUGUCCGUCUCGCAAACAUUUCGAUUCUAGUCGCGGUCCGGACGGCACCUGGGCGCAACCCGUGAUAAGUUAGUGCAAUUUAGUGUUUAUACUUAGUGCAAUGUUCCCCGUGUACCCGCUCAAAGUGAAUUGUCUUGCGAUUAUUGGAUUAUUAACUUUCCUGCAAUUGACACUUGACAGCCAGAGUCAGCUGUUGAUAAAUGUACAAAACCAGGGAGGCGAAGUGGUUCAGGAAACUAUAACAUCAAACGUUAGCGACGACCUUAUUACGUUGGAAUUUCAAAGGACCGAUGGCACACUCAUAACACAACUUAUAGAUUUUCGAAAUGAAGUUCGAAUUCUCAAAGCUCUGGUCCUGGGCGAGGAGGAGCGCGGUCAAAGUCAAUAUCAAGUUAUGUGUUUUGUAACGAAAUUCACAAAAGGCGACUUUUUGUCAGCCGACGCUGUUGCAAAACUCCGACAAAAGAAUCCAAGCACAAUAAGAACGCCCGAGGAGGACAAGGGCAAGGAGAGUUUCACAAUGACGGCAUGGGUGAACCUUAAUCGAUCAGCACCAAUUACAAGGCAUUUAGCGGGAUUGUGUUCGGAAGCGGCCGACGCAACCUACGUAAGGGAUGUUGAUUUGAAAGCAUGGGCCGAACUGCCAGGUUCAUCAAUGUCGAGUUUAGAAUCAGCAAUACAUCAAUUUCCCGUACAAUCAGUUGGUCCUGUCCCGGUCGCAGUUCCGGCAGCUUCAUCAACUUCAGCACCAGUGUUACCGGCCGCAACGCCUUCCUGUCCGCGAUGUAAUGAGGUGUCGAAUCUGCGAAUGCCAUGCUUUUGUGCCCUGGAAAUGUGUGUGGGGUGGUAUCCUUGCGGGUUGAAAUACUGCAAGGGUGAUCGGACCGAUCAAUCAGCGAACGGACAGAAUUCACAGAAUUAUAAAUGUGGUAUCAAAACGUGCCGAAAAUGCAGUCAAUUCAUUUAUUAUGUGAGACAGAAGCAACAUUGCCUGUGGGACGAAUGACGAGUGUGGAGUGAGUGGGGUGCUAUCCGCGAUGGAGGGAUGCAAGCGCUAUGCAUUGAGUUGGGACAGAAAGGAUUAGUAGGCGUUGUGAUACAAUUAUGCGGUCUAGCUGUAAUUCUGUCAAUCGAUUCAAUGCAUCACUAUCGUCGUCAUCAUCAUCGUAGGCGUUAUCACAAAGCUAUGAGUAGCAAUUUUGUAUAUAUGUACUUAUAACGGAAAUUCUGGUAGACUAAGCGACUAAACAUACCAUAAACGUUUCCAGGGCAUUGCAUUUUGUAUUUUGUUAGCAAUAAACAAACAAAAAUCAAAUCGAAUUUUCAUGAGUUUCUGAUAAAGUAAGUUUACUUAGGUUUAUGACUCAUAUGGUUUUUGAAGUAUAAUUUUAUUGUGCCAUAAAAUUGGAUACCAUGUGGUUCUGUAUUCGCCAUCCAAUUUUCUCAAGAUUGAAUUUAUCCGUGUCGAAUUCAUUCCAAAUUCUCUAUGAGCUUUUGAGUACAAAGUAGCUUGUGAUUUUUAGAUAUCUUUUUGUUCUGAUUUUGAAUUCUGUGUGAAGAUACACUUUCUGAGUGUUUCUGCUUGAAAGCUUCUAAUGGAGAUAGUAAGUAACAUAACGAGCCGUAGUAAUCCGAGAAAAAAAAUAAUUCUUUGUACUCUUGUCGCCAUAAACGGAAAACGUCUUUGAUAGUUCCAAAUAGAAUAUUCCGAAAAUGUGACCUUUCGCUUUGUAAAUAUUCUUUCCACUGUUCAAUAGUCUUCAAUCAAUCAAAAUUUCAUUUAACUCCGUUCAUUGAAUAAUUUACUUGAAUCGUACAUUUCCCCUUCCACCUUCCGAACGACUCGCUCUCAAACGUAUAAAUACAUGAUAUCGAACUGCAUGUGUACGCUGCAUGUGCCUAUUCUAUUCUUUCGGAUGUAAAUGAUAAAUCUAUAGUUUCUAGGACUAAACAAUACACACUGAACCAACAAAACAUUUUAGUAUGUAAGUGAAAAUGGAAAAAAGUAGAAUGUAAAAGUCAACAUCGAGUGUUCCAUCGAGUAGUGAUACAAAAAAAA